CACCUCCUCUACAUUUAUGCCAAGUUUCAUUAAAAUCAGAAUUUACGGGUUCGCGAGGUUCCCUUGUAAGUGCAAUUUAAACUGAAUGUAUAAAGUUUUCAUUUAGGAAACUUGGAAAUGCACAUUUAGGCACACCAAAGAUUCUUCUAAUUUUCAAAGUUAUCUAACAAAUUUUCCAAGUAGAAACUUACAGUUAGUGAUAUGAUUCUAGUUGUCUAAGAGUAUCGUGUUAAUGUAAGUGCAUGUAUUACAUUUUUUUUAUUGCAGUUCGUGAUAUGAUUUAUCUUAUGUUAUAUGCAUUUUAAGAAUUUUAUGUUUAAAGUCAUUUAUUGUACAAACUGAUGUCAUUACAAUAUUUUUUAGUUUUCUAUUAUAUUGUACACAGCUUUUCUUCUUAUCACCUUCCUUUUUUAUUAUACUAUAUGUAAGAGUAUUUGAAUUGAAUAGACUUUAUUUUCGUUCAAUAUCUUGUCUCGCACCUUAGUAGCUUUUAGCUUUUAUUUGCUAGUCUGGAAAAGAUCAAUGGAAUUUUUUGUUUGAAUUUGAGAUUCAUUAUAUAAAUGUUCAGCAGCUGUGUUACAUUGAUUCAGUGGAGUCAUCAUGUAACUCGUACAUGCGUACCUUCCAUCUCCAACAAGCACAGCAUUACCGUAUCUUCUUUGUUGAUACAUAGCUUUCCGAUAGCAGUUAUUGAAAAUAUGGGAGUCAUGUGUGCUGCCUGGCCAUCUUGCAACAAUAUCCGUAAACUCCAAAUUUACAUUGCAAAUAGCCUGGACAUUUAAUGAAAAUCUAUUGCAUCAAUAACUCUUGAAAAUCUCGCUUUAUUGUAAAAUUUCAUUUGUGUCUUGCGGAUUUGAGAAGGUGUCUCAAGAAAAAGAACAUGAAGGGGUCGCAAAGAAGCUGUAGUACAACUGACUCAGUGCACAAUUCUGUGAGCAGUAGAAGUGCUGAAACCACAUAAAUCUGCAGCAGUUGUUUAGUAACAUCCAGUGGCAUAGAAACGGAGGGCACACAGUAGUUGAUUAAUAGAAGACACAAUUAUUUCUGAAAAAAGAGAUUUUUAAUAAUACGUUUGCAACUUAAAACAAAACUUUAUUUGCUAAAAGAAAUUGGUUAAAUAAAGUAAAGCAAAGAUAAAAGCCAAAAUCAGAGGUAACUACCCACAUAUGUAACCUCCAAAUACAAGUAUCUCGUAUUCUUUACUGUGAGGAAAAUACCUUUUACUUACUUGUCUGUUCGAAAUUCGAGUUGAUCUUCAAAACAGACAGCACUGUUUGUUUUGACAAUCGAAACCUUAUUACAAAAUCUGUAUCAUCUAGGCUGUGAAAGUGAUCUUCUCUGUCUCGUAUCCACCUCGGUCGACGAACAACAAACUCAUCCUCAUCACUACCAUCUUUAAAAGCUAGCACGUUCGCUCUUUGCAUCCUUAUUUCUUAUACUUAAAAUAUAUUACUGGGAUUUUUUAUAUAUAUUAAAUAUAUCUGAGAUAUUACGAUGCUUGCAGUCGCAAUCGCGGUUUAGGUUCAUCAACCGACUAAAAUUGGUCAAUUAAUUCUUAAACAUCGAUCAUUUUUAAACUUGAUUAAUUGCUCUUGGUGAAAUCCAAUAUCAAGGAUUAGAAGCGUAAUCGAAGUUUAAUUUCAACUAAUCGCGGUUUGUGUUGUUGGUGAAGUUGGCCCUUAGACGACAGCGUGACGGCGAUCCUUUCGGACUAUCUCAAGGUCUAAUAUACACUGACACAACUACACUUGUAUAUCAAAGAUUAAAUAUACGGACACAUAAUAAUUAUUUGUGAGACCUUUCUGAACGGACCUAACCAACCUGCAACUCCUCCACAAUUAAUAUCAUAAUUCAAUCGAGACCAUUGUACUUGCAUUAACAGCAAAUAUUAUUUUAUUGAGUAUAUCUGUAAUUGACAGCCCGCAAUUACGUUUUAUUAAAUCAAUUACUUUUUUCUGUAUAUGCGUGCGUUCCAUUUAAUGUUCGCAAAGCUCGCGAAUAUUAUUUGUCUUCGUUUAAUACUAAAAGACACGGUAGUGGUUCACGCCAAGUAAACGCACAGCGCGAGACCGACCAUGUGAUAAACAACAAGGAUGCUCGCGAGCGAUGCAAACGUUAAAUAGAAUGCAUCCAAAAUAUAUUGUAUCAUAAUUACAGAAAAAAAUAAAA